CGAACAGGAGAAAAGUGGUCCCUCCCUCAUUCCCUCGUGGAGUCCACGGUCCCCAGAGGAAGAGAGAUGUGGUACUAAGAAAGCCCAGGAUGGAGAACCUGCCCUGGUCAGAGACCAGACCCUGGCCCUCUCCCCACUGGGGCCCCACCUUGGAAAGCAUCUCAUCCGCCUGGGCCUUCACCUGCCGCUCCAGAUCCCGCACUUUCCUCGCCAUGGCGGCCAUCAACUCCGAGUCGUGGUACACAGGGACUGCCAACCAGACAAAGUCCUAGAGCCCGGGCCUUGAGCUGAGGCUGAGGAAAUACGGUGGAUAGAGGAGCAAGUUAAACCCCACCGGACAGAUCACUACAGGGGACAUCCUGCGGGACAAGUAGCCUGGACUCUUCAAAAAGUGUCAUUUUUUAAAAUAGGCAGGGAUUCUGCUCUAAACAAGGAUAACAAUCAAAUGCAGUGCAGGACCCUCAAUUAGAACCUAAAUCUGGGGGGGCGGGGAAAGCUAUGAGAGAUAUUUUGGAACACUGGGAUGUUAGAGAGAGUUACUGAAUUGUUCAUAUUCUUAGGUGUGAUCACGGCAUCGUGGUUACAUACUUCCUUACUCCUAGAAGAUGCAAAGGGAAGUAUUUAGAGCUGAAAUGUCAUGAUAUCUGCAACUGAUUUCUAAAUGGCUCAUCCAAAAAAUACACUUGUGUUCAUAACAUAUGUGUAUAUGGAUAGAAAGCAAAUAUGGCAAGAUGUCACUAACUGUUGAAUCUAGGCUGAGGAUGUAUGGGUGUUUGCUGUACCAUUAUUUCAACUUUUCUGUUUGCUGACAAAUUUUCAAGUUUAAACAUUUGUGAAAGAAAACAAGAGAGAGACAUGGGAAGAAACAGGGCCCCUUCUUCCCCUGGAUGUUGUCUCUCUCUGUGUGAAGCCGGAAAUGUAGCUGUAACCACGCGACCAUGUGGAGCUGACAGGCCCAAGGAUGGUUCAGUGGAAAGGUGGAGAAACCUGAGCUUCUGACAAGGUCUUUGAGCUGUCUCCCUAGGACUUCUUGGUAU